GUGAAUCCGCUGAUCCGGGCUUUGGGGCCCGCCGGGAGUUCUGUUUAUAAACACACCGCGCGGCUGCCGGCGAGGGGUAACCCUAAGGGGAGUGGGGUCGGAGGUCAGAGGUCAGCGGGCGCGGGGUCGCCGGCCGUGAGACCGGCCCCGCCACCCUCGGGGACUGCUGGCUGCGCAGGGUGGCCGGCCGGACCGCCCUACCGCGGACCGGGGCUGCCGGGGCGCCACGUGGUGCGCACGUGGUCCGGCCCCGGCGCGGCAGCUCCCCUCCCCCACCACGCGAGCCUGGCCGCAGCGCCGGCUGGCGGCGCGGCGUUGCACAUUGCGCGUGCGCACAACUCGUCUCGAGGCGCCUUCCGGUGGCGCGGCGGGGUCGGUUGCCUCCUCGCGACGGCUGCGCCGGGAUGUUCCGGGGCGGUGGGGUCGCCUGCCCAAUGUCGGGUGCGCGAGUGACGAGUAGAAGCCGGAUUUGUGCGCGUUCUUCAAGGCUCCAAAGGGAGGAGGGAGCCUCCGAGAGUCCACGUGGGGCCGGUGGGAUUCGCAGGGCUGGAGUGCAGAUGUGAUCUCGGCUCACCGCAACCUCUGCCUCUUGGAUUCAAGCGAUUCUCCCGCCUCAGCCUCCCAAGUAGCUGGGAUUACAGGUUUUGGCAAAUGGAUUCUGCAGAGUCAGAUGCCAAUUAACUGAAAUCCUGAAAGUUCAACAAUCGGCUCUUGUGAACAGCUCCAGCUCAGCAUUAGUCUUAUCUGAGACCCCAUCUUGGUCCACUGGAGACAGAGACGCUCCUGCUGGCCUUGCAGAAGCAAACAGCAUGUUGUGAACAGCCCCUGGAGAGGACCCCAUGGCAGGGGACUAUGAGUAGCCUCCAGGACCUGAGGGUGGCCUCCAGCAGAAGGCCAGAAAGAAACUGAGGCCAUCGGUCAUGUGGCCACAAGGAAAUGCAUGCUGCCAGCAGGCUGAGUGACCUUGGGAGAGGAUUCUUGCCCAGUUGAGCCUCCGGAUGAGAAUGCAGCCCAACUCAACCUGGAUUACAGCCAUGAGAGGCUCUGAGCAGAGCACCCAGCUGAGCUGUGCCCAGACUCCUGCCCCAGGGAGACCCGUGUGGUGCUGGAUGGAUGUUGGUUUAAGCUGCUGAACCUGUGGUCAUUUGUUACACAGCAAUAGCGAACAAAUACAUAA